AGAUCGCCGCACCACCUACUAUGGGAAUCAAAGUUGCUCUCGUGUGGAUCAUUCCAGUGCUAUGCCAUAUCAGGCCAAUUGAAUCCAACAACGGCCCUUCUGAAGUGGAGCAACAGGUUGCAUGGAGGCCCACAGGUACUUGGGCUGUGCACUUCUAUGCUGCACACCCAUCAUCAAUUGUUGGAGCAAGGCACCCCAUCACCUUCUCCGAUGUCAUUCUGAACGAAGGAUUUGCCUUUAGUGGGAAGUCUGGAAUCUUCACAGCUCCCGUUCAUGGAAUCUACCAGUUUUUCUUCUCAGCAACGUGUG